rnacentral:snRNA from 1 species
AUACUUACCUGGCAGGGGAGAUACCAUGAUCACGAAGGUGGUUUUCCCAGGGCGAGGCUUAUCCAUUGCACUCCGGAUGUGCUGACCCCUGUGAUUUCCCCAAAUGUGGGAAACUCGACUGCAUAAUUUGUGGUAGUGGGGGACUGCGUUCGCGCUUUCCCCUA